AGGGGAUGACUUGUGGAUAGGGGUGAAAGGCUAAUCAAGCCUGGUGAUAGCUGGUUCUCCCCGAAAGCUAUUUAGGUAGCGCCUCGGACGAAUACCAUAGGGGGUAGAGCACUGUUUCGGCUAGGGGGUCAUCCCGACUUACCAAACCGAUGCAAACUCCGAAUACCUAUGAGUACUAUCCGGGAGACAGACUGCGGGUGCUAACGUCCGUAGUCAAGAGGAAAACAAUCCAGACCGCCAGCUAAGGCCCCAAAAUCAUAGUUAAGUGGGAAACGAUGUGGGAAGGCAUAGACAGCUAGGAGGUUGGCUUAGAAGCAGCCACCCUUUAAAGAAAGCGUA
rnacentral:rRNA from 1 species